AGUAGGCCUCAAAUAAUGUGUGAC
rnacentral:rRNA from 4 species